rnacentral:rRNA from 1 species
GACGAACGCUGGCGGCGUGCUUAACACAUGCAAGUCGAGCGAGCGGCGGACGGGCGAGUAAUGUAUGGGGAUCUGCCUGAUGGAGGGGGCUAACUACUGGAAACGGUAGCUAAUACCGCAUACCAUCAGAUGAACCCAUAUGGGAUUAGCUUGUAGUUGAGGUAACGGCUCACCUCGGCGACGAUCCCUAGCUGGUCUGAGAGGUUGAUCAGCCACACUGGGACUGAGACACGGUCCAGACUCCUACGUGAGGCAGCAGUGGGGAAUAUUGCACAAUGGGCGCAAGCCUGAUGCAGCAAUGCCGCGUGUAUGAAGAAGGCCUUCGGGUUGUAAAGUACUUUCAGUCGGGAGGCGUUACCCACAGAAGAAGCACCGGCUAACUCCGUGCCAGCAGCCGCGGUAAUAC